UGGGGAAUAUUGCACAAUGGAGGAAACUCUGAUGCAGCGACGCCGUGUGAGGGAAGAAGGUUUUCGGAUUGUAAACCUCUGUCUUCGGGGACGAUAAUGACGGUACCCGAGGAGGAAGCCACGGCUAACUACGUGCCAGCAGCCGCGGUAAUACGUAGGUGGCAAGCGUUGUCCGGAUUUACUGGGUGUAAAGGGAGCGCAGGUGGGAAUGCAAGUAAGGUGUUUAAUCUACGGGCUCAACUCGUAAUCGCACUUUAAACUGCAUUUCUUGAGUGGAGUAGAGGCAGGCGGAAUUCCCGGUGUAGCGGUGGAAUGCGUAGAUAUCGGGAGGAACACCAGUGGCGAAGGCGGCCUGCUGGGGCUCUAACUGACACUGAGGCUCGAAAGCGUGGGUAGCAAACAGGAUUAGAUACCCUGGUAGU
rnacentral:rRNA from 1 species